CUGAAAGGGGCUUAUGAGGACAGGGGUGUUCCAGGGUCCCUGUGGUCUUUCUCCUGCCCGUGAAGAGGGCUUCCUUUUGAAGCUGUGCUAGGAGCGGUAUCUUAGCCACACUGAGCUCUUCAUGCAUAGAAGAUAGCUCAUUUUCAGUUGGUUAUCUCCCCUCAUAACUUCUACCAGCUCUCCUACUUAACAAUCCCACACCCUUGGGGGAAAACAGGAACAGAAAAUAUAUGCAAAAUGGCCCUCCAUUUUGAUAGAGGUAUACGCAGUUGCUGACUUCAAUCUUUUUGCAGCAGCUCCCUGAGAGAAUCAAGAAUCAAGGAUGCCACAGAAGCCUGGGGACUGGGGCUCAGCACACACCGGAGACGAUGAAGGUGAAGAAGUUGAGACACUGACAUUCGUGAGGUCACUGAGGCAGAGAAGUAAACCCUGGGAGUCAGGAGACCUGGGUUCUGAUUCACUAUUUGACUUUGGGCAGCGUCGGUGGCUGCUUGAGGAAUGAAGACUGGAUUUUGUUUUAGCCAGCGCUGGACCAUGAAGGACAAGAAACCUAACAGCCCAUGCCCGAGUCUGUAUCCUUAAGCCACUGACAGGGGAGUUGGGAGAUUUAUAUUAUAAGGGCAGUUCCUUUCCAUAGCCUCCCUUCAUUAGCACUGACUGGGACUCCCCACAGAUAAUGCCCCCUCCAGAGUUUAACCUGCUUUUUCUUCUGGGAAAAGGA